rnacentral:rRNA from 1 species
UGGGGAAUUUUGGACAAUGGGCGAAAGCCUGAUCCAGCAAUGCCGCGUGUGUGAAGAAGGCCUUCGGGUUGUAAAGCACUUUUGUCCGGAAAGAAAUCCUUGGCUCUAAUACAGUCGGGGGAUGACGGUACCGGAAGAAUAAGCACCGGCUAACUACGUGCCAGCAGCCGCGGUAAUACGUAGGGUGCAAGCGUUAAUCGGAAUUACUGGGCGUAAAGCGUGCGUAGGCGGUUUGCUAAGACCGAUGUGAAAUCCCCGGGCUCAACCUGGGAACUGCAUUGGUGACUGGCAGGCUAGAGUAUGGCAGAGGGGGGUAGAAUUCCACGUGUAGCAGUGAAAUGCGUAGAGAUGUGGAGGAAUACCGAUGGCGAAGGCAGCCCCCUGGGCCAAUACUGACGCUCAUGCACGAAAGCGUGGGGAGCAAACAGGAUUAGAUACCCUGGUAGUCCACGCCCUAAAACGAUGUCAAACUAGUUGUUGGGGGAUUCAUUUCCUUAGUAACGUAGCUAACGCGUGAAGUUGACCGCCUGGGGAGUACGGUCGCAAGAUUAAAACUCAAAGGAAUUG